rnacentral:rRNA from 1 species
GGCUUGUUUGAAUGGUUUGACGUGAGAGAUGCGAAUAUUUAGUAUUAAUUUGAAUUUGGUGUUAGGGAUACAGAAUUCCUAAAUGUUUAAUAAGACGGAAAGACCCUGGGAUCUUUUUUUUUCGCUUGGGGCAAGUUUCAUUAUUUCAAUGAAAUUAGGAUCUUAAGUAUAGAUUAUUGGGUUAAGUUACCCCAGGGAUAACAGUGUGAUAAUUAAUAAGAGAUCUUAUCGAAUUAAUUGUUGCCCACCUCGAUGUUGACUUAGGUUAGAAUUUAGGUGUAGUAGC